UUGGAUGAAAGGUAGAAGAAGCUUGUUGGAUUUUUUGAAGAAGUUGGGGACCUUCCGUUCUAUGCGAUGCAAAGGUUGCCACUGUUGUUUUCUGUAUUAGGGACACAACAAUGAUGUUGAGAUUGUAUGGUCUUGUGGGUGAAGUAUUCACAUUUGAGGGGAGAAAAUAUCACCGGCUAUAUUAUUAUUUUUGUUGGAAAUUCAUUUUGCGGGACAAAAUAUUUAUGGGUGAAUUGUGUUAGAUGCAGAGAAUUUGCAUGAAGAGCUUGUAACAUAGAACAUGCUUACCAAUUAUAGUUUUAACAUAUAAUUUCUUCAUGUGCCAA